GACGAACGCUGGCGGCGUGCUUAACACAUGCAAGUCGAACGGUAAGGCCCCUUCGGGGGUACACGAGUGGCGAACGGGUGAGUAACACGUGAGCAACCUGCCCUUGACUUCGGAAUAACAGCUGGAAACAGCUGCUAAUACCGGAUACGACCUCCCGCGACAUCGCGGGGAGUGGAAAGCUCCGGCGGUCAAGGAUGGGCUCGCGGCCUAUCAGCUAGUUGGUGAGGUAACGGCUCACCAAGGCUUCGACGGGUAGCCGGCCUGAGAGGGCGACCGGCCACACUGGGACUGAGAUACGGCCCAGACUCCUACGGGAGGCAGCAGUGGGGAAUAUUGCACAAUGGGCGCAAGCCUGAUGCAGCAACGCCGCGUGCGGGAUGACGGCCUUCGGGUUGUAAACCGCUUUCAGUAGGGACGAAGCUAACGUGACGGUACCUACAGAAGAAGGACCGGCCAACUACGUGCCAGCCGCCGCCGUAACAC
rnacentral:rRNA from 1 species